rnacentral:rRNA from 1 species
GGAAUAUUGGACAAUGGGCGAAAGCCUGAUCCAGCCAUGCCGCGUGUGUGAAGAAGGUCUUCGGAUUGUAAAGCACUUUAAGCUGGGAGGAAGGGCAGUAAGUUAAUACCUUGCUGUUUUGACGUUACCUGCAGAAUAAGCACCGGCUAACUUCGUGCCAGCAGCCGCGGUAAUACGAAGGGUGCAAGCGUUAAUCGGAAUUACUGGGCGUAAAGCGCGCGUAGGUGGUUCAGCAAGUUGGAUGUGAAAGCCCCGGGCUCAACCUGGGAACUGCAUCCAAAACUACUGGGCUAGAGUAUGGUAGAGGGUGGUGGAAUUUCCUGUGUAGCGGUGAAAUGCGUAGAUAUCGGGAGGAACACCAGUGGCGAAGGCGGCUCUCUGGACCAAGACUGACGCUGAGGCGCGAAAGCGUGGGGAGCAAA